UGGGGAAUAUUGGACAAUGGGCGAAAGCCUGAUCCAGCAAUGCCGCGUGAGUGAUGAAGGCCUUAGGGUUGUAAAGCUCUUUUACCCGGGAUGAUAAUGACAGUACCGGGAGAAUAAGCUCCGGGCUAACUCCGUGUG
rnacentral:rRNA from 1 species